rnacentral:lncRNA from 1 species
GGAAGCAAAGAGAUACUCAGCGGCUGUAACAGAUAUUGCAGGUAUUCUACUUAGCAAUCUAGGGUUUGUUUGGUCUACCUCUAUUAGGAAACAUCUUACAUUCAGAAGUUCUGGAAAACAAAUUUCAGUGAUUCCUCAAAGGUUUUAGUUUGCCGACGAACUCGUUGUUCGUUCUUUGCAUACUAUUAUAAUCGUAUGUUUGAUCGGGAAAAACCCGAGUCUUGUAGGCGUUUUAAGUGCCAGUUGUGAUUAUUGUAAAUGGUCGUCUUUCGAUGAUGGAAUCCGAUUGUGACUGUAUUUGUUAUGUUUUUGGAUGCAGAAUGAAGGUUGUCGCAGCGUAUUUGUUGGCUCUUUUGGGAGGUAACACUACCCCAUCAGCUGAAGAUUUGAAGAAAAUUCUCGGUUCAGGUAUGCCUUCCAGUAUUUAAGCUCGUUAAUUUUUCAUCCUAUGAUUCCUUUCUCUUGUAAUUUCGUUUCUUUGUAUGAAACUUGGUACAUUAGAUGUGGGUUUUCGUGAAAACUACAUAACACAAAUUGAUCUAUAUCAUUGACUAGUUUUGUGAGCGAUGAAGAACGAGUUUUGCUACUCGCUAGUUAAAUUUGUUAAAAUUUUGAUUUUUGAUAUAAUGUAUGGCAUUUGAUAAUGUGCAGUUGGAGCUGAAGCCGAUGAUGAUAGAAUCGAAUUGCUCUUGUCUGAAGUCAAGGGUAAAGAUAUCACUGAAUUGAUUGCAUCCGGAAGGGAAAAGUUGGCUUCAGUUCCAUCCGGUGGUGGUGGUGUUGCUGUUGCUGCCGCCGCUGGUGGUGCUGCACCUGCUGCUGCAGCAGCUGCUGAACCAAAGAAAGAGGAGAAAGUUGAGGAGAAGGAGGAGUCUGAUGAUG